CCCUUAGAUGUCCGGGGCUGCACGCGCGCUACACUGAAGGAAUCAGCGUGCUAAAACCAUUGUCGAAAGGCAUUGGUAAACCCAUUAAAAUCCUACGUGAUUGGGAUCGGGAAUUGCAAUUAUUUCCCUUGAACGAGGAAUUCCCAGUAAGUGUGGGUCAUAAGCUCGCGUUGAUUACGUCCCUGCCCUUUGUACACACCGCCCGUCGCUGCCCGGGACUGAGCCGUUUCGAGAAAAGCGAGGACUGCUGCUGUCGGGGCUUUCGGGCCUUGGCUUCGGUGGAAACCGCUUUAAUCGCAGUGGCUUGAACCGGGCAAAAGUCGUAACA
rnacentral:rRNA from 1 species